rnacentral:lncRNA from 1 species
CGAAUACUAGUAUGCUGGCACCACCCUUUCAUCUCUCACCGCCGCCCAUUUCAUACCAAUUCCUUAUUGCUAGCCCUUAUUUCUAACCAUCACAUACAACUAAUCUAGUUACUGAUAAUCGGAAUCAUAAAGCACCAUCGCUGCUAAUUUGUUGUUUCCAACCAAAUAGCUAUCCUAAAGGAUAAACCACCACCGCUAUCGAGCUUACUGCUUCCAAGCCAUCUAGAUCUAUCCAUCGCUUCCCUUUUUCCAAGCAACAGUUCCUAAACUAGAGGC